GGGCGUGUAGCUCAGUCGGUUAGAGCACGGCUCUUAUAAAGCCGGGGUCCUUGGUUCGAAUCCAAGCACGCCCA
rnacentral:tRNA from 4 species